AAAAAAGACACAAGUUACUCACAGAAUUAGACACUGAAUAAAGAGCCAUUCAUCUACAUUUACUCUCUUCUAAUCCACAACACUUAAUUAAAUUGGACACAUUUUUUCUAAUCUAGGUUAAUGUAAGACUAUAAAUCAACUUCAGUUCUUGAAACCUAUAUUUAAUUGUAAAAGCCCCAAAAGAUUUUAACAAUAUUUCUGGGCUUCUUAAUCACCUUACAUGCAGUAAAGCUUGAAGAUCACAAUACACAGACAAGUAAAACCUUGACAGAAUUAUUUUAUACAGAGAUUCUAUAAAACACAGUUUUCAAUUCAUUGAAUCGUUUUGUAAUUUGUGAUAACUGAAAAAGAAAUGCAAUUAAUAGCUUACAAGGGAUGCAGCUUGAGAGCUUACUAGCUAUAAAUGCUAAACAUGGACAGAAUAGUCCAAAACUGUUGAAAUAUUAUGAAACUGUUUUUAAUUGUGAAACCUCCCUUCAAAUUGUGAAAUUUGUGAAAAAUGGCAGUGAUCGCAUUUGUGGGGCGAGACUGCCUUACAUGGUGUCCAGCAGUCUUGAAACUACCCAUGACAUCAGGGAAAUCAUUAAAUUAGCCAUCAACAUACCCCGUCACUUUGGCAGACAGUGAAGGAGGAACACCGUGGCCAAUUUGACCCGCCGCCAUUGUUGUUGCAGAGAUCACUAUAGGAACAAGCAGGCCUGUCGUCAGGAUGCUGGGGUCCCUGAAAGCAGGAGUCCAGCUGCGUCCACCUCCGGUGUUCAUCCACCACGGGCCUCCCAUCCCCCCGCCGGGGCCCUGCCUGGCCGGAUCUGUUUUUCUAAACCGAGAGAGGAGUGACUCACCACUCCGGUUUUAAAACAGGCCAAGGACGAGGGGGAGGGCAGCACCACACGUUAAAAAGCCCUGUUUAAGCGGGCCACUUUCAGCUCAGCACAGAUGCACCAGACCUGCUGGUUUUGCUGUCUGGAAAACUGUGCACUGGCACAAAUGUGGCAUUAAAAUGUUUAGUGCAG